CACGGGGUUGCGAGCGUUGUCCGGAAUUACUAGGCGUAAAGGGCAGGCAGGCGGAUCCAUAAGUUUAUCGUUUAAGGCGUCGGCUUAACCGGCGUAGGGCGGUAGAUACUGUGGAUCUGGAAUGCGGUUGGGGAAGACAGAAUUCCUGGUGUAGCGGUGGAAUGCGCAGAGAUCAGGAGGAAUACCGAAGGCGAAGGCAGUCUUCCAAGCCGUUACUGACGCUCAACUGCGAAGGUGUGGGUAUCAAAACAGGAUUAGAUACCCGGGUAGUCCCUGAG
rnacentral:rRNA from 1 species